GGCACUAAGACAGCAAAGUGUGGACCAAAAAAUCAUGAAAAAAGAAAAAACAAAUACCUGUGAAACUAUUUCAAGAGAGACAUGACUCAAAGUAUCUGCAAAAAUAGAUAAAUUGCUUGAGAUAUUUCUGCAGUAUCUGAUUCACUGCUUGAUAUAGUUAGGCUAUUAAACAUAUUGCAUUCAUGAAUCACCAUAUACUUUUAAUAUUUUGCAAUAGUUUGGUGCUGUCUCUGUUGAUUUAACUGUUAAUAGUGGAUAACAUAACUAAACUUUAGUAAGAACUAUGCUUUCUCAGUUAGAAAUAAAAAAAUAAAUAAAAAAUAAAAGUAUAGCCUGAAUGCACUGUAAGUCGCUUUGGAUUAAAGCGUCUGCUAUAUAUGCAUAAAUGUAAAUUAAUUGAUUAUGUAUUUAGCUAUUUAUUUGUAGGUGUUUUUGUUUUGUUUUUUUGUCACCGUGCUCCCCACAAACCUUUCUUGGUGGUGAAUAUAGGCUUACAAUAUAAUUUUUUUUAUUACUAUUUCUAAUUUGGCGUUUCAAAAAAUCUAAAUGGCACAAGUGUCUUCGUUUCGCGCUGCGGUUUCUAAUUCAUAACUUAGUGUUCGUUCCUCAAAGUUAACGAGCAUUUGGUGCGGGCAGAGUUAUUUGAAGCUGUCCCAACAACUUCUCGAGUCGAGACCCCAAAUAUCCCUGAAUGACAUCACGCAGAUUGGCCAGUAGGAGUGUGGAGCGCAGAGUUUGGGGGCUGGAAAUCCAAUAGGUACGAGCUCCGCUGAAGUUUCUCAAUCACUAUCAAUGAGGAUUUGCAUGCUGGACCUAAAAAAAAAAAGCGGAAUUGGUGAAGAAUGAGAAGGAAUCGUUGUGGACGUUUUGAAUGAUUUUGCAGACUUUUAAAGGGCGUUUUUUUCCUACUAGUUAGCGAUGUGCUUUUCUAACUUUUAAUGCGCAUCUGUAUGUUUCAGUGGUGUGGAGAGACAGAUGCAACUUCGCGUUUGAAUGAGCAAAGCUUUUUCUGAUGCAUUUCGAAAAGUUUUCAAAGUUGGAACUAUUUUAUGCUGGUGUUGUAGCUCAUCGUUAAGUUUUCCCCCUCGUCCUACCUGUAGUAUUUUUUUUUUUUUUUUUUUUUGCGCGCGGGAUUUAAUUUGCUGGAUGUAACAAGACGCGGAUACAAUUUUUUGUUUUUCAAUAGCCUGCGCAUUAGUUUAUUUUGUUGUUUUUAAAUAUUUUUUUCUAUUGUUAUCGGGCUG
rnacentral:lncRNA from 1 species